UAUGGCUUGCCCUCUGUCUCUGCGCACUUUUCUUGUAUUUUUGUUAGUUUUACUGGUUGUCACUGUAGAUGUCAGCUCUCUGCUGGUUUAUGACCGCCAAGCACUACUUGAUCUGAGACCCUCUUUUGAAAAAUUGGUCUCAUUUGAACCCGAUGGGCACAAAACCGGCUGCCCUCCGCUUCUCUCUGGGAUACCGGCUCGCAGGCGCCAGGGUAAGCGUGGAGGCCGGCUGGUGAAACUGAAGGCUUGGCUGGUUCUUUCUGCUAAGACGCUCCAACGGAUCGGACCGGAAUAUCACCGCUUCGUUUCGUGGCGCACUCUGGAUCCAAUCGACCCCUGUUUGGUUCCAGUGGUCGGUCUGGACGAAGGAUUCUCCACUCGCCGCCUCCCAGCUGCUAACCCUCGCUGGCGUGGGGUGAACCAGCUGAAUCUCCAGCUGAUAGCUAGGAGUCCAUUGACAGCUAACUCCCCUGCUCCUCCUGCUCGGUUUGCCCUGGUGAACGCUAGAUCGCUAGCAAAUAAAACUUUUAUCCUGAAGGAUUUAUUCGAGUCACGGGGAUUGGAUUUUCUCUUUAUAGCCGAAACAUGGUUGGCUGUGGGUGGUUUACUGAGGACGGGUUUGUGUGGAUGUGAGAAGCCUAGGUUAAAUGGAAGAUUAUCUGAACUGAUGCAGAUUGUAGAAUCAGGCUGGAUAAGUUAAAGUAUGAAACACGUGUGCAAGCUAUUACGCUCCAAACAGCAUGAAUGAAUGAUGUUCUCAUGAAAAGUUGGACUCUUAUUCAGUUUGGGUGCUCCACAUUGUGCUGCAUUAUUCUUGUCAAGCGGCCAUGAUCUCUCCCGAAGGACAAGCUGGCAGUGGGCUUUCCAAUAUGGAGUGAUGAGUGAUAUGUCAUGUGUAAAUUGUUCCACACUGGAUCAGACUUAUCGAUUUCUGAGUGUUGGCACUUGGAUCUUUCGAGCUCUGUGCUUCUGCAGCAGAAUGAUUACUUUUUCAUCAUCUCAUUGAUAUUUCAUCAUUAUUGUGCUUCUCCUUCCUUCCUUCCAAACUACUACUGCCAACUGCCCUUCUGAAAAGCAAUUAUGCUAUGGAUGUCUAUCAUUUCCCUCUUAUGAAACUGUCCAUGCGCCAGGGCUCGUUUAGAAAACAGAGAUGUUAUAUUCAUACUGUAGAUGGCAGUCUACCUUUUCACUUGUAGCUAUUCUUGUGUGCUCCGUGCGCUUCACCCAUUAGCCUUCCAGUGGCACUUGCUUGUUUCUGCUUCCAUGCCCAGAGAUGCACUUGCUGACACAGGAUCCCACUUACACAGAAUUAUGAUAAUGUUUGUCUCACCUUUAUGCUGAGGUAAACAUGGAGAUCCAUCACUGUGAUUAUUUAAAGGCAAGUAAUGGGUCGGAGGGGCAAAAUUCACAUUUUUAAAAGAAUACCAACAGUGAUUAUAGUUGUGCCUGUGGAUCUGUUAUGGCAGUUUACUGCAUGGCUGCAACAGUGUGCAUAAUGAUGACAAUUAAAGAAUGUGUAAAGUUGAAAAUAGUUCUGGAAAGGCAUUGGGGUAUCAUAGAGCAGAAAGGGGGAAAAAGCACAGAAAAAAGAGUGAAGUGGAUAAAAAAACAGCUUGUACUCUGUCUUUAGAGUGAAGCUGGGAGCAGAUUGUCCCAUCUGGAGGUGUGGAAGGAGGCGUGUUGUCUUGACAAGAGUGUUUGAUAUGUUAGUGGGGGGAAGGGAAUGUGCUGAAUGACACUGCAGCAUCAUAUCACAUCAUGACAUCAAAUUAAAUGAGGGUCCAACCCUUGAAGCGGAGCAGGGCAGGAUUUGUAUGUAAAAAUAUAACAAUUUUAUCAUCAGUAACUGUGAAUAUGGAUGCAAUACAGAAAAACAUCCAGCUGCAACACUGACCCCAUAUAAUAAACUAAAUUCAAUCAUUAUAUUCCUGACUGUGAUAGUAGUAAAGCUGUGAGAACUUUAAAAGCAACCCAGGCCUGUGUCUAGAGAAAACUGAACUCAUAAAUGUUAGAUGAUUUCCCUGCUGUUGUUUUUGGAAUCCUUCAGCUCAGUGGUUCCCAAACCCUGGGGCAGUCCCUCUUCAAAUCUUUAAGGCAUCAUAGCCGAUCAACUACGGCUCAGGAGAUAGAGUGGGUCGUCAAUUGGUGGUUCGAUCCCCAGCUCCUGCUGGCUACACAUCAAAGUGUCCUUGAGCAAAAACGUUGCAUCUUAAAUUGCUCCAUCUUGCCACUAUCAGCGUGAGUGUGUGAAUAGAAGGUAUUGUGAAGUGUUGUGUCCCGCAUAGGUAGAAAAGUGUUGUACAAGUGCUGUCCAUUUACCGCUGCAGGAGGGGAGUGACCAGAGGAGAAUAUGUAAGCCAAAGAUGAAUAAAUCAGAUUUAUUCCAGAACAAGAAUGCUUUCAGAUCAGAAAUGCCAUCAAAAUUCAGCUUAGCAAGGUUCAUUCAGACAGCAAAAUAACAUAAGCACAGAGCUGACAGAACAAAAGAAGUCUGAACAAUGUUCGUAAAGCAAACACAUCUGAAGUGACGACAUUAUGAUGAAGCUCAUCUCGCUCUUGGCGUCACUGUGAAUGCAGUGAGAAACUCUUUUGUCUGUGUUUGAAAUCAGGCUAAAGAAAACAUGCAGUCCAUGCUCUUAAUAGCAUGAACAACUCUUUACUUCGGCUUCAGAAAGGGAACCUGACAGGAAGAAGUUCAAGAACCAGAACUGCUUUAGUAUAAAUGGCCAUGCUGUGUUAAGUUUAUCGAUUCGACACUACAGGAUUUCUGGCUCUUCAAGUGCACAAAAUUAAAAAGUCUCCUCUUUCUGCCAUGUGUGAAAUUAACUUGUACAGUGUUAAUCAAAAUAUAUGGGCUACAGUGCAGUUGCACACACUUAUGCCGAUACAUGCAUAGAGACCCAUUGUUAUGCAUGCAAGGAACACAUACAAAGUGCUAAAAUGCAUAUGGACACACACACACACACACACAUGCAUGCAUCUUGCAUUUUAGAAUAGCAUGACGAAUGGAGGACUAACAAAGUAGUUCAACUAUAGUGUCUUAUACUGCUGAUAGAUGUAUGCUCAGAGACUGGUGUGUGUGUGUGUGUGUGUGUGUGUGUGUGUGUGUGUGUGUGUGUGUGUGUGUGUGUGUGUGUGUGUGUGUGUGUGUGUGUGUGUGUGUGUGUGUGUGUGUGUGUGUGUGUGUGUGUGUGUGUGUGUGUGUGUGUGUGUGUGUGUGUGUGUGUGUUUUUCGCCAACAUAACAAAACUAUCAUCUUCCUCCCUUUUGGUCUGUCUACCUGAAUCAGCAAGGAGCUCACACUGUCCUAACAGCAUCUGGUCUAAACGAGGUGAGCGGAGUGGCCACUAUGCCAAAUGGACACAUAAAAAGGAGACAUUAAUGGACUGAGGAGCAGCAUAAAUCUACCAACAGAGCCCUCUACUCCAACGCCUGUGUUAGCAGGCCAAUGUAGGAGGAGAGGGCGAAGACGCCCCAGAGCUAGAUGGUGCAUGUAGUGUGCUGUCCAUGGUGCCAUUGAGGGAGGAUUACCACUGCAGCUCUGAUCAAUGGUACUAUACCCCUCGAUUACUACUGGAACUGCGUUGACCAGACCAUAGACUGCCAUAGCUGCUCAUGGACCCUCUUCUCCCCCUGGAUUCCCGCCGUUCCCUGCUCUGUCGACAGCCAGCUAUUCCCUGAACCAUUACCUGCCUUGCCUGCCGCCAGCUCAGCUCCCCUCUCACCCGGACUCUGGAUUUCCCGAACCUGCCUUCUCCCUUUGUGUUUAGUUCCUCCCAUUUCUGUUACUGUGAAAGCAGGAGCCAGAGUUGAUUCUUCAUAGAAGAUUCUCCAGCAAUUUCCCAGCAUGAGCUUUUCCCAGCAUGCAUUGGUGAACUGAUUGCCUGACCUAAAGGUGACCUCGAACCGUACCACACCAUCGCCAUCUAUCUACGUCUCCACCAAUCCUGUGAACCCCCUCAUUCAUACUCCUUUCAGCUGCCAGUCAAUCCGCACUCUUCUUUUUGGAAAGGGCAGGUGAGGCUGUGCAGACGAUUUAUCAGCGCUUUUCAAGUGAAAACCUGCCUGCUGUUGCUGGAAACAACAUGGAUGAAAAUGGUGAGCCAAAGACUAAAGCUGAGGGCUGUUAAACCACAAAAAUGAGCUGAUAAAACCUGUUUUCCUGCUGUAGAAAAAUAACAGAUCUUGCAGUGAAGCUCCACUUUGUGCUGUUAUGCCAAAUAGGGCUGGUCAAGACACAACAGGAAAGUGACCUAUCUUCCCCAGGAACCAGGCACCCACAGAAGCAGAUUGAGAUGUGAGCAUUUCUGUCUUUAUUUACAUUUUUUUCAAAUCUAAGGAGCUUGAAUUUAACAUCAGGGUGAACAAAGGGUGAUAUAUGAGUUAUAUAAAGAAUCCCAACCAAGAUGGCGUAACCAAAAUGAAAAAGCGGGAGAACACAUGCUGAGAAGAAAUGACUGGCCCAUCCUUACAAAUUCUAGAGAACAACAAAGCCAUCUGCACGGCAUCAAGUACCGGUGGACACACUGGAUUUAAGAGUCGCUGGUUUGGACAGGAGGGAGAUGAAUGAUUUCUAUGCAAUAUGACAGCGCCAUCUUGGCUCCUUAUGUUGUGGACCCAUGUCACUGGACAGCAGCCAAUCAUCUGCAGGCUGGCAGCUGUUCCACCAAUCACCACCUCUUCUGUGCACACUCUGUUUAACAUGCACAUUCACACCUGAUGCACAUCAUGCAGAUUCCAGACUGGGAAAGAAAACAGACUGUUUAUACUACAAAAUAUGGCAGUCGUAACAAUACGAUGGAGUGCUUUUUUAAUCCGCCUUUUCCGUGCAUAUGUUUCGGACAUCAGGACACUGUCUUGUAUUUUCUCCACCUGAUCGUAUGAGUUGUGCACUGACAUUCAAAGGGGACUGAUGUUUUCAUUUUAACAGUCUAUUAUAAUUAUAAUGAAAUACUAUUUAUUUCAUUAGUUUGACUUUACUCAACAUCACUGAACUUCUGGUCUGUGCCAUGUCAUCAAGAUAUGUAAGUUAGAGAUUUCACAUGAAAACUAGACCUUAUUUAGAUUUAUUCUGAAUUUACCAAUUAAUAAAGGUUUCCAAACUCUACUGUUUAAAAGUUUGUGGUCUCUUAGAAAUGUCCUUAUUUUUGAAAGAAAAAUGUGUCAGUCUAGACAUUGUUAAUGUGGUAAAUGACUAUUCUAGCUGGAAACGGCUGAUUUUUAAUGGAAUAUCUACAUAGGAGUACAGAGGAACAUUUCCAGCAACCAUCACUCCUGUGUUCUAAUGCUACAUUGUGUUAGCUAGUGGUGUUGAAAGGCUAAUUGCUGGUUAGAAACCCCCUGUGCAAUUAUGUUAACAAACAUACGAAUAAAAGUGUGAGUUUUCAUAGAAAACAUGAAAUUCUCUGUGUGACCCCAAACUUAUGUAAUGGUAGUGUAUGUUAUUAAUAUCUAAGAAUUAAAUUGGAAUUUGCGAUGUCAGGGAAGGGUUUGUGUUUUCAUGGUUGCCAACAGUGCAUGUACAUGUGUACAUCAGUGU